GGGGCGCGAGGCUGCCAGUGGCCGGAGUCGGAAACCAGGGUCGGUUUGCCCACGGGGCAGCCGUUGCAAUAUCCGAGCUCGGGCUCCCAGUCCGGGAUCCGAGGAGUUAGGUGCCAGCUGGAGAUGUCCCUCCGGGACCCGCACCCUUCUCCAGUUACAAAUCCGGUUUCCGUUUAGGUAAAAUGGAUAGAAUAAUAGUACUUACCUCAAAGGAUUGUUGAAGAGAAUCAACAAGAUGAUAUCCCUGAAGCACUGGGAAUAGUGUCUGGCACACAGCACUCUCCCAGGAGCACACCGCGGCGCUAGAGAAGACCAGGAAAAAGGACCUGAGCCAGCUUGCCGUCUUAACAAAAAUUUCAAACUUUGCAAAGCGGUAUACCUUCUUAUUCUCCAGUUCAGUAUUGCCAGUGAAGUCAUACUGAACGCAGACAAGGAAAAGAAAGAAAAAGAAACUCAAUGAGAUAUGUUGUCAUCUUCCCUGUUUUAUGGAUGAAGUUCUAAGUAGAGGUUCGGAGAAGAUGUUCAGCCUCAGAACGUAGCCACCUUGCUGUGAGAAAGCCCAACCAUCUUGUACAGCGAGACCACAUGGAGAGGCGCAUGUGGAAAGGAACGGAGGCUACAAGCCGAUAGCCAGCAUCGACUGCCAGGCACGGAGAGUGAGUCUUCAGAUGAAUCCAGCCUCAGCCUAGAGUCUUUUGUCUCAGGCCCCAGACACUGUGGAGCAGGGACAAGCCAUCCCCACUGUGUCCCACCCGCAUUCCUGAUCCACAGAAUCUAUGAGCACAAUAAAUAGUUGC
rnacentral:lncRNA from 1 species